rnacentral:rRNA from 1 species
CCUACGGGAGGCAGCAGUGGGGAAUUUUCCGCAAUGGGCGCAAGCCUGACGGAGCAAUACCGCGUGAGGGAGGACGGCUUUUGGGUUGUAAACCUCUUUUGUCAGGGAAGAAGAUCUGACGGUACCUGACGAAUCAGCAUCGGCUAACUCCGUGCCAGCAGCCGCGGUAAUACGGAGGAUGCGAGCGUUAUCCGGAAUUAUUGGGCGUAAAGCGUCCGCAGGUGGUUGUUCAAGUCUGCUGUCAAAGCAUGGAGCUUAACUCCAUAAAGGCAGUGGAAACCUGGAUAACUAGAGUUCAGUAGGGGUAGCGGGAAUUCCCGAGUGUAGCGGUGAAAUGCGUAGAUAUUGGGAAGAACACCGGCGGCGAAAGCGCGCUACUGGGCUGAGACUGACACUGAGGGACGAAAGCUAGGGGAGCGAAAGGGAUUAGAUACCCCGUGUAGUCCUAGCUGUAAACCGAUGGAUACUAGGUGUUGCGCGUAUCGACCGUCGCAGUGCGUACGCUACGUACGUAGUACUCCGUCCGUGGUAGUACGCGCGCGAGUAGUGAACGUACGAAGAAGUUAGACGGCGUGAGACGUGCCGACGGACGACGACGAGGGAGGUAGG